rnacentral:rRNA from 1 species
GAUGAACGCUGGCGGCGUGCCUAAUACAUGCGAGUCGAGCGAACGGACGAGAAGCUUGCUUCUCUGAUGUUAGCGGCGGACGGGUGAGUAACACGUGGAUAACCUACCUAUAAGACUGGGAUAACUUCGGGAAACCGGAGCUAAUACCGGAUAAUAUUUUGAACCGCAUGGUUCAAAAGUGAAAGACGGUCUUGCUGUCACUUAUAGAUGGAUCCGCGCUGCAUUAGCUAGUUGGUAAGGUAACGGCUUACCAAGGCAACGAUGCAUAGCCGACCUGAGAGGGUGAACGGCCACACUGGAACUGAGACACGGUCCAGACUCCUACGGGAGGCAGCAGUAGGGAAUCUUCCGCAAUGGGCGAAAGCCUGACGGAGCAACGCCGCGUGAGUGAUGAAGGUCUUCGGAUCGUAAAACUCUGUUAUUAGGGAAGAACAUAUGUGUAAGUAACUGUGCACAUCUUGACGGUACCUAAUCAGAAAGCCACGGCUAACUACGUG